rnacentral:ncRNA from 1 species
UCUUAUCCAGAGAGGUGGAGGGACUGGCCCGAUGAAACCCGGCAACUGGCCUUGAAAAAGGUGCUGUGCUAAAUCCUGCAGAUUAUAAUUCUGGCAGAUAAGA